rnacentral:rRNA from 1 species
UACUUAGUGGCAGACGGGUGAGUAACAUGUGGGUAUCUACCCUUUGGCCUGGAAUAACACGAGGAAACUUGUGCUAAUACCGGAUAAGUCUUUACGGAGAAAGCUUUAUGCACCAUUGGAUGAGCCCGCACUUGAUUAGUUUGUUGGUAGGGUAAUGGCCUACCAAGACUAUGAUCAAUAGCUGAUUUGAGAGGAUGAUCAGCCACAUUGGGACUGAGACACGGCCCAAACUCCUACGGGAGGCAGCAGUGGGGAAUCUUGCACAAUGGAGGAAACUCUGAUGCAGCGAUGCCGCGUGAGUGAAGAAGGCCUUUGGGUUGUAAAGCUCUUUCGUCGGGGAAGAAAAUGACUGUACCCGAAUAAGAAGGUCCGGCUAACUUCGUGCCAGCAGCCGCGGUAAUACGAAGGGACCUAGCGUAGUUCGGAAUUACUGGGCUUAAAGAGUUCGUAGGUGGUUGAAAAAGUUGGUGGUGAAAUCCCAGAGCUUAACUCUGGAACUGCCAUCAAAACUUUUCAGCUAGAGUAUGAUAGAGGAAAGCAGAAUUUCUAGUGUA